GGCCUGAUAGUUCAGUGGUAGAAUUCUUGCUUUGGGUUGUGUAAUCUAAAUUGUAAGAGGUCUCCGGUUCGAUCCCGGAUUAGGCCC
rfam:Botryotinia fuckeliana BcDW1 unplaced genomic scaffold Scaffold_102, whole genome shotgun sequence.